rnacentral:rRNA from 1 species
GACGAACGCUGGCGGCGUGCUUAACACAUGCAAGUCGAACGGAAAGGCCCUGCUUUUGUGGGGUGCUCGAGUGGCGAACGGGUGGGUAACACGUGAGUAACCUGCCCUUGACUUUGGGAUAACUUCAGGAAACUGGGGCUAAUACCGGAUAGGAGCUCCUGCUGCAUGGUGGGGGUUGGAAAGUUUCGGCGGUUGGGGAUGGACUCGCGGCUUAUCAGCUUGUUGGUGGGGUAGUGGCUUACCAAGGCUUUGACGGGUAGCCGGCCUGAGAGGGUGACCGGCCACAUUGGGACUGAGAUACGGCCCAGACUCCUACGGGAGGCAGCAGUAGGGAAUAUUGCACAAUGGGCGGAAGCCUGAUGCAGCAACGCCGCGUGCGGGAUGACGGCCUUCGGGUUGUAAACCGCUUUCGCCUGUGACGAAGCGUGAGUGACGGUAAUGGGUAAAGAAGCACCGGCUAACUACGUG